rnacentral:tRNA from 1 species
GCCUGGGGGGCUUAGUCAGCAGAGCAUGUGACUCUUGAUCUCAGGGUUGUGAGUUCAAGCCCCAUGCUGGGCA